ACAAUCCCGCACGAGCGAAAAAUCCCAGGGAUGCCGGAAUCACGUGACUGGGGUGAGGCGAGGUUACCCGCGUGCCGGCUCUGCCCCCCGCUGCUGAGGGAACGCGCUGUAGGAACAAAACCUGGAUGGAAUCACUAAACAGACAUGACACCAGUUAUACAACAAAACUGCUGGGGCUUGUUGUAAAAGAAAACAGGUUACUAAACAACUUGUAACGAAACAAAAAAUAUUUUAAAUUAAGCUAGACUUCUCUUGGGAAGAAAACCAGCUGCCAUGCUGCAGUCAGAGAUGAAUUUUCCAGAUGUUAAUCUUUUCCCCAUGUAGUGUUGGCAGUUUUCCAACAAUACUGAUUUUUCACUUCUCUCAGGAAAAGCUAUGUUAAUAAAUAUACACUACAAUUUAAAUCCA